ensembl:lncRNA
AAUUAGAAUACUGUUGAAGGGCAAAAUCAGGUCCCCACAGUAUAGAAAAAAGGGCUUCAGAGCAAGAAAAGAGAAAGCAGCUUCACAAGGUAGACAUAAGGGGCAAAUAGGGAUAGUUUAUGUAGAGAGUAUUAGAAAACAAGGGAUUCCAAGCACUUUCACAGGAAUGAAGGCCAUAAAGAUAAGGACUGGAGAACAGCUCGAAAACAUUUGGCAGGGAGGUGAUUAGAUGUCUGAAGUGCAAGGUGAAACCGGUUCGGGGGAUGCCCCCUCCUCGGGGUCAGAAGUUUGCAGUGAGGAAGCCUAUGAGCCUUCUCAAGGAAGCCUAUGAGCCUUCGCGAGGAAGACUACAAGCCUUCAUCAUCAUGACCUACCAUGCACGUGCAAGGGGGGGGAGGGACUGUAUGCUAAUGGGCUCUCAGGAAUGAAAUGAAUAUGUAUCCGAAUUCCUGUCAACUAUUGAUUACGCAUUAGUUUGACCUAUAUCUAUAGCACGAUUUCUCCUGACGGUGUGCAAGUUAAGUGGAGCGAUCCCCCUUGCACCAGGGUGUGCGUGUGUCACCAAUAAACACAUACCUGCUCUAUAUCCUUACUGGCUAUAGGGUCUGAUUUCCACACGUCGCAGUUAUCGUAAGGCCUUUGGCUCUCGGACAAUCUUUCUCUCAAUUACUGUUGAUUUAUAUUGUAUUAUAGUGUGUUAUCUUACAUUCCGAUACUAUAUUUAGUAAAUUAGUUUGUUUCUCCUCAGAUCGUUGCCGCUGUUUUUAAUUAUUUUGGGGUCCCCUGUUUCCCUUCCUGGAGGCGCGGAUUUUGCGAAAUCCCUCCGCCCCACUAGUCGCGGAACCGGGCCAGACCAGCCCUUAAACCAUUGACAC